rnacentral:rRNA from 1 species
GCCAGCAGCCAUAUCACCACUCAACUCACAACUGGCAGCCCACUGAAGCUCAGCAGGUGUGAGCCUGAUCAGUACCUGGAUGGGAGACCUCCUGGGGAAAACUAAGGUUGCUGCCGGAA